rnacentral:lncRNA from 1 species
AAAGCAACUAGAUACUAGGAUCUACUAACUAGAUCUUAGCUUCUACUUGUAAUAAAAAUAAAAAUUAAUAAAUUAAAGAGAAUAAAAUUAAUUUUGUAUUAAUUAGAAUCUAAAUUCAAGUACAAAAUAUUAAAAAAAACUAAUAAAGAAGACAAACAAAACUAGAAUAAAGAAAGUAAACUAGAAAGCUAUAACAAGGGUUAGAAGUUGAUUUGCACAGCC